UAGAGAAAAAAGGAGGGAUGGGGAAUGGAGAGGGAGAUUAGAGUGUAGUUGUUUUCAUGUUCUUGUUUUCCUAAAUUUUUUUUUGCUGCUGUUUGCUUGUUAUCGUGUUAUCGUUUUCCCUUUUUUUUUAUCCUCA
rnacentral:ribozyme from 1 species